UCUCUCCAAUCCCAUUUGGUUAUCCCUCCGCAAAACCCUAACCCUAGUUUUUUCCGCAUUACCUUCGAACGCGCCGGCCGGGCUUUCCGUCGCCGAGGGAGAGAAUGAGGAACGCCUGGAGAUCACUAUUAGUGCAAUCUCUCCAUCGGAUCCCAUCCAACUCCUCGCGAAUCCAACCUCCCAACCUCCAUUUCAUCAUCCAGCGGCCACUACAGCCUUGCGCAUCUGGUUCUUUCCUGUCUCUAAACUCUAGGUUUCGAUUUUUCUCUUUGGGUUCGACACCGGAUUGUGAUGGCCAGGAUCAUCAAGCACUUGCGGUGGAGAUCUUUUCGAAGCCGAUCGGUUCUGGUGAGAUCGAGGCAGAGUUGGAGGCUGCGAAGCUCUCGCUUGAUAACAAGAUGCUGAAUUUGGUCCUCCGGAGUGUGGAAGAUCGGCCGGAGAUUGCUCGGAAGGUGUUUGAUUGGGUUUCGGAGAAGCAAAAUCGCUUAUUGAGCUCAAAAUCAUAUAAUUUGAUGCUUGGGAUUUUGGGGUCUGACGGGGACUCGGAGGGUCUCUGGGCUACUGUUGAGAUUAUGAAGAAAAAUGGAUAUGGGAUCUCCAAAGGUGCCUACUUGAAGGCAUUGGAGGGGUUCAACAGGAAGGGGAUGGAAAAAGACUCAAAUUUAUUGGAAAGAACGUAUUUCUUGAAUUCCCAUGAGAAUGUGGUUGUCCGGGCAUGCCCUAGGGUUUGCAAGAUACUGAGGGAAUGCAAUGAAUCAGAAGAAGUAUAUAAGAAUCUGAAUGAAUUGGAGAUUAGUUUGUCCUCUGAUUUGAUUCUUGCAGUCUUGGACCGCAUUGGUGCUGAUCCAAGAAAGGCUUUGAUGUUCUUCCGAUGGGCUGAGAAGAAUCCAUCAUUUAGAGUGGAUGGUUCUGUUUACAAUGCAUUGGCAAGGGUUUGUGGUAGAGAGGAUUGCAUUGAUGAAUUUCGGGUGUUUCUCCAAAAAAUGAAGAAUGAAGGGUUUGAGAUGGAAAAGGAAACGUAUGUGAAGGUUUCUGAUAGGUUUUACAAGAGGAAGAUGAUUGUAGAAGCUGUAGAAUUGUUUGAGUUUGCAAUGCAUGGUUCAGAGAAGCCUCAGGAUAGUGAUUUGUUGCUCCUCCUGAGGAAAAUAGCUGUUAGCAAAGAGUUAGAUAUGGAUUUGAUAUCUAGAGCUGUCCGGAUUUAUAAUGAGAAGGCAGGUCAAUCUGUAAAAGCAUCAGUUUUCAGUAAAGUUCUUAAAUCACUGGCCAGUGUGGGGAAGUUGGGGGAUUCUGAUGAGGUUUUGAAGGCAAUGGAAGCAGGAGGGUUUGUACCAGACCGUGGUAUACAUGCUCAAGUUGUUGUUCAACUUUUCAGUCUAGGUAGAUUGGAUAAGGCUCUUGAAUACAUGGAUGGUCUAGAGAAAUUGGGUCAUACUAAAGAUGCGGAUUCAUGGGCUUGGUUUUUAUUGUGUUCAUCAAUUCAAAAGUAUUGCAAGGCUCAUAAACUGGAUAAGGCAUUGUCUCUCUUGCAUGAGAUGAUAGAAAUAAGAGGUGCUGCACACAUAGACACUUCGGUUGAUGUGUUGGUGAGCAGCUAUUGCCAUAAUAACAAAGUUGAUGCUGCCUUGAAAAUUUUGAAGGAGAUGGUUACCAUGAAACAACUUCAACUUUCAUAUGACACACGCAAGAUUCUUAUUGAAAAGUUGGUUAGUAAAGGGAAGCUAAGAGAAGCUUCAAGGCGAAUGUCUGCGGCAUUGCUUGAGGCUGGGAGAUAUGAAUUGGCUUAUGGUUUACUUUAUGAAUCUCCAGGCAGUGGAUCAAUCUAUCACAUGAAGCCUGAAGAAGCUGCUUUGUCUGUAGCUGUGUAAGCCAUGAGCAUCAAGGAUGCCCUUGUUGAGAGAAGAUGCAUGAGUUUUCCCAUCCAGAUUGAUGAUCAGAUCCCCAGUUUGAGGAUUGGCUUCUGUUGUACUGCAAACUUUUUAUGGAGAAAAUGUAAAUUUCAAUAAGCUGAAGGAUAUCAAAUUUCAAGAGAAGCAUCUGAUGUAAGUUCAUUCCUGCUCAGAGUUUGCAAAGUUAGUUGUCUUAUCAGCUAACUCAGAGAGGCCAGAGCCGAAAGAAGUACUGCCAAUGUGAGAA